UUCCACGAUGAGGACAAUCUUGAAUGUAUCCUUGCAAACAAUCCCAUGCUUCUGAAAUGGUUUCUGUCUUCAGCUAUUGGAAAUUGGUAAUCAUUCCUCUUAAGGCA
rnacentral:snoRNA from 1 species